UACGUAAGUGGCAAGCGUUGUCCGGAUUUACUGGGCGUAAAGAGCGCGCAGGCGGUUGAUUAAGUCGAAUGUGAAAGCCCCGGGCUCAACCUGGGAACUGCAUCCAAAACUGGCAAGCUAGAGUAGGGCAGAGGGUGGUGGAAUUUCCUGUGUAGCGGUGAAAUGCGUAGAUAUAGGAAGGAACACCAGUGGCGAAGGCGACCACCUGGGCUCAUACUGACACUGAGGUGCGAAAGCGUGGGGAGCAAACAGG
rnacentral:rRNA from 1 species